rnacentral:rRNA from 1 species
CCUACGGGAGGCUGCAGUGGGGAAUAUUGGACAAUGGGGGGAACCCUGAUCCAGCCAUGCCGCGUGUGUGAAGAAGGCCCUCGGGUUGUAAAGCACUUUCAGUGAGGAAGAACGCCUGGUGGUUAAUACCCAUCAGGAAAGACAUCACUCACAGAAGAAGCACCGGCUAACUCCGUGCCAGCAGCCGCGGUAAUACGGAGGGUGCGAGCGUUAAUCGGAAUUACUGGGCGUAAAGCGCGCGUAGGUGGCUUGAUAAGCCGGUUGUGAAAGCCCCGGGCUCAACCUGGGAACGGCAUCCGGAACUGUCAAGCUAGAGUGCAGGAGAGGAAGGUAGAAUUCCCGGUGUAGCGGUGAAAUGCGUAGAGAUCGGGAGGAAUACCAGUGGCGAAGGCGGCCUUCUGGACUGACACUGACACUGAGGUGCGAAAGCGUGGGUAGCAAACAGGAUUAGAACCCUUGUAGUC